rnacentral:rRNA from 1 species
CCGCUGUGGGCGCAGGAAAUUUGAGGGGGGCUGCUCUUAGUACGAGAGGACCAGAGUGGACGAACCUCUGGUGUACCAGUUGUGCCGUCAGGUGCAUUGCUGGGUAGCUAUGUUCGGUUAGGAUAAACGCUGAAAGCAUAUAAGCGUGAAACCUUCCCCAAGACUAUAUUUCCCUUUCCCCCCGAUUUAUCGGGAGGACUAAAGGUUCCUUGUAGACUACGAGGUUGAUAGGUCAUAGGUGUAAGACCAGUAAUGGUUUUAGCCGAGUGAUACUAAUAAACCGUGAGUCUUGACCAA